UCCCUUCUAGCUUAAGUUUGGUAAAGCAUCAGUUUGAAGAGCUGGGGAUGUCUUGUGCGGUGGGA
rnacentral:tRNA from 1 species